rnacentral:lncRNA from 1 species
GCUUUUCUUGAACCCCAGAAUUUUUUGAUUUUCUUUUUUUUUGCUUUUCUUGAACCCCAGAAUUUUUUGAUUUUCUUUUUUUUGCUUUUCUUGAACCCCAAAAUUUUUCGCGCGAGUGAUCCCCGAUCACCGCAUUUAAACCCCGACAACUUCAUGUCAUUCUUGCUGCCAAACAAUGAACCCUGUUCUCCAUUUGAAC